AUUGAACGCUGGCGGAAUGCUAUACACAUGCAAGUCGAACGGCAGCACGGACUUCGGUCUGGUGGCGAGUGGCGAACGGGUGAGUAAUGUAUCGGAACGUGCCCAGUCGUGGGGGAUAACGUAGUGAAAAUUACGCUAAUACCGCAUACGAUCUACGGAUGAAAGCGGGGGAUCGCAAGACCUCGCGCGAUUGGAGCGGCCGAUAUCAGAUUAGGUAGUUGGUGGGGUAAAGGCCCACCAAGCCAACGAUCUGUAGCUGGUCUGAGAGGACGACCAGCCACACUGGAACUGGGACACGGUCCAGACUCCUACGGGAGGCAGCAGUGGGGAAUUUUGGACAAUGGGCGAAAGCCUGGUCCAGCCAUUCCGCGUGCAGGAUGAAGGCCCUCGGGUUGUAAACUGCUUUUGUACAGAACGAAAAGGUUUCUACUAAUACUAGGAGCUCAUGACGGUACUGUAAGAAUAAGCACCGGCUAACUACGUGCCAGCCGCCGCGGUAA
rnacentral:rRNA from 1 species